AGAGAAUGCCCGAGUCAGUCACGUUUAGAGUUCGAUCCGACAGAGGGAGGAGUGCUAUCUUACGAUUGGUUAAAAUACCACCGCUCCCUACGUACGCCAUUAAAGAGAAUCGUAUUUCUGUUGUACAAAAUGAAAGAGAGGACUUAGCAGCUUAUAAAGAUGAUUCAUGCAGAGCUGUUAUUUUACUCACAAGACAUCCACAGUCUCUCCAUUAUACUUUGGAAGGGCAUCUACAAAUUGGAUUAAAAUUGAUUCACAUCAAACCUUCUGAAGAUGGGAGUCGACAUAUUUUAGUU